GGGUUGUGAGGUUAAGCGACUAAGCGUACACGGUGGAUGCCCUGGCAGUCAGAGGCGAUGAAGGACGUGCUAAUCUGCGAUAAGCGUCGGUAAGGUGAUAUGAACCGUUAUAACCGGCGAUUUCCGAAUGGGGAAACCCAGUGUGUUUCGACACACUAUCAUUAACUGAAUCCAUAGGUUAAUGAGGCGAACCGGGGGAACUGAAACAUCUAAGUACCCCGAGGAAAAGAAAUCAACCGAGAUUCCCCCAGUAGCGGCGAGCGAACGGGGAGCAGCCCAGAGCCUGAAUCAGUGUGUGUGUUAGUGGAAGCGUCUGGAAAGGCGCGCGAUACAGGGUGACAGCCCCGUACACAAAAAUGCACAUACUGUGAGCUCGAUGAGUAGGGCGGGACACGUGGUAUCCUGUCUGAAUAUGGGGGGACCAUCCUCCAAGGCUAAAUACUCCUGACUGACCGAUAGUGAACCAGUACCGUGAGGGAAAGGCGAAAAGAACCCCGGCGAGGGGAGUGAAAAAGAACCUGAAACCGUGUACGUACAAGCAGUGGGAGCCUCUUUUAUGGGGUGACUGCGUACCUUUUGUAUAAUGGGUCAGCGACUUAUAUUCUGUAGCAAGGUUAACCGAAUAGGGGAGCCGAAGGGAAACCGAGUCUUAACCGGGCGUUAAGUUGCAGGGUAUAGACCCGAAACCCGGUGAUCUAGCCAUGGGCAGGUUGAAGGUUGGGUAACACUAACUGGAGGACCGAACCGACUAAUGUUGAAAAAUUAGCGGAUGACUUGUGGCUGGGGGUGAAAGGCCAAUCAAACCGGGAGAUAGCUGGUUCUCCCCGAAAGCUAUUUAGGUAGCGCCUCGUGAAUUCAUCUCCGGGGGUAGAGCACUGUUUCGGCAAGGGGGUCAUCCCGACUUACCAACCCGAUGCAAACUGCGAAUACCGGAGAAUGUUAUCACGGGAGACACACGGCGGGUGCUAACGUCCGUCGUGAAGAGGGAAACAACCCAGACCGCCAGCUAAGGUCCCAAAGUCAUGGUUAAGUGGGAAACGAUGUGGGAAGGCCCAGACAGCCAGGAUGUUGGCUUAGAAGCAGCCAUCAUUUAAAGAAAGCGUAAUAGCUCACUGGUCGAGUCGGCCUGCGCGGAAGAUGUAACGGGGCUAAACCAUGCACCGAAGCUGCGGCAGCGACACUGUGUGUUGUUGGGUAGGGGAGCGUUCUGUAAGCCUGUGAAGGUGUACUGUGAGGUAUGCUGGAGGUAUCAGAAGUGCGAAUGCUGACAUAAGUAACGAUAAAGCGGGUGAAAAGCCCGCUCGCCGGAAGACCAAGGGUUCCUGUCCAACGUUAAUCGGGGCAGGGUGAGUCGACCCCUAAGGCGAGGCCGAAAGGCGUAGUCGAUGGGAAACAGGUUAAUAUUCCUGUACUUGGUGUUACUGCGAAGGGGGGACGGAGAAGGCUAUGUUGGCCGGGCGACGGUUGUCCCGGUUUAAGCGUGUAGGCUGGUUUUCCAGGCAAAUCCGGAAAAUCAAGGCUGAGGCGUGAUGACGAGGCACUACGGUGCUGAAGCAACAAAUGCCCUGCUUCCAGGAAAAGCCUCUAAGCAUCAGGUAACAUCAAAUCGUACCCCAAACCGACACAGGUGGUCAGGUAGAGAAUACCAAGGCGCUUGAGAGAACUCGGGUGAAGGAACUAGGCAAAAUGGUGCCGUAACUUCGGGAGAAGGCACGCUGAUAUGUAGGUGAAGUCCCUUGCGGAUGGAGCUGAAAUCAGUCGAAGAUACCAGCUGGCUGCAACUGUUUAUUAAAAACACAGCACUGUGCAAACACGAAAGUGGACGUAUACGGUGUGACGCCUGCCCGGUGCCGGAAGGUUAAUUGAUGGGGUCAGCGCAAGCGAAGCUCUUGAUCGAAGCCCCGGUAAACGGCGGCCGUAACUAUAACGGUCCUAAGGUAGCGAAAUUCCUUGUCGGGUAAGUUCCGACCUGCACGAAUGGCGUAAUGAUGGCCAGGCUGUCUCCACCCGAGACUCAGUGAAAUUGAACUCGCUGUGAAGAUGCAGUGUACCCGCGGCAAGACGGAAAGACCCCGUGAACCUUUACUAUAGCUUGACACUGAACAUUGAGCCUUGAUGUGUAGGAUAGGUGGGAGGCUUUGAAGUGUGGACGCCAGUCUGCAUGGAGCCGACCUUGAAAUACCACCCUUUAAUGUUUGAUGUUCUAACGUGGACCCGUGAUCCGGGUUGCGGACAGUGUCUGGUGGGUAGUUUGACUGGGGCGGUCUCCUCCUAAAGAGUAACGGAGGAGCACGAAGGUUGGCUAAUCCUGGUCGGACAUCAGGAGGUUAGUGCAAUGGCAUAAGCCAGCUUGACUGCGAGCGUGACGGCGCGAGCAGGUGCGAAAGCAGGUCAUAGUGAUCCGGUGGUUCUGAAUGGAAGGGCCAUCGCUCAACGGAUAAAAGGUACUCCGGGGAUAACAGGCUGAUACCGCCCAAGAGUUCAUAUCGACGGCGGUGUUUGGCACCUCGAUGUCGGCUCAUCACAUCCUGGGGCUGAAGUAGGUCCCAAGGGUAUGGCUGUUCGCCAUUUAAAGUGGUACGCGAGCUGGGUUUAGAACGUCGUGAGACAGUUCGGUCCCUAUCUGCUGUGGGCGCUGGAGAACUGAGGGGGGCUGCUCCUAGUACGAGAGGACCGGAGUGGACGCAUCACUGGUGUUCGGGUUGUCAUGCCAAUGGCACUGCCCGGUAGCUAAAUGCGGAAGAGAUAAGUGCUGAAAGCAUCUAAGCACGAAACUUGCCCCGAGAUGAGUUCUCCCUGACCCUUUAAGGGUCCUGAAGGAACGUUGAAGACGACGACGUUGAUAGGCCGGGUGUGUAAGCGCAGCGAUGCGUUGAGCUAACCGGUACUAAUGAACCGUGAGGCUUAACCUUACAACGCCGAAGGUGUUU
rnacentral:rRNA from 1 species